AACGACUAGUAUUUCACCAGCUAUAAAGUCAUGAAUGAUCUAUUCUCUUUAUCAUAGGACUUCAAGGCCAGAUCCUUAUAGAUCAAUACGUUUUCUCUAGAGAAAUAGCAACAUUUGAAUAACUUAUUUACUUUAUCCUCCAUCAAUUUGUCUAAGCAUUUGGAAUUUAUUAAAUUUUCAAUAUAUGAAAAUGGAAAUUUAGUAUGUUGUGCAUAUGUGUGUCAUUGUUAAAGAAGUCAACGUGUGUAUGAGAAAAAAAAAUUUCUUACGAAGAAGGACCAAAACUUUAGAGCUAAAUAGUAAAAUACUUCUAAUAAAAAAAAAAAAAACUUGAUGGAAGCACUGUAACUUACCGGUUAAGGUUUAAAGGCUUCUACAUCCAGGUCUGGAGUUCGAAUCCCAGACUAUGCAAUUUAUUGCAGAUUACAGAAAAUCCAGGUUUCAAGUUUCAGAGAAAGCGGUUUAUUAAACAAUUAUGCAGACUACAGAAGAAAUGCUUACAAGGGAUCUUUAACAUGGUGCAAGUAAAUCUGGCCAGACGUGGAUCUUCAUAGUACGGCUCAGGUGAUGCAGUUACGCGUAGGUUUUCAUAAGGCAG
rnacentral:lncRNA from 1 species